rnacentral:misc_RNA from 1 species
GGAAGUAAAAGUCGUAGCAAGGUCUCCGUUGGUGAACCAGCGGAGGGAUCAUUACAGGACUCGCAAGACUCCUACAACCCUGUGAACUUAACUAUAAGCACGUUGCUUCGGCGGGUGUCUCGGAGGGGGUUCUCCCUCCCCGAGACGCUAAACCCGCCGGCAGCCUACUAUACUCUGUCUCUUUGCGUUGGCAUCUCGAGUACAAUCAAACAAGUUAAAACUUUCAACAACGGAUCUCUUGGUUCUG